UCUACUGUUGUGGGGGGAAGGUUUGGACAUGCUCUGCUUUUUAUGGAUUUUGGUACAAAAUAGAGCAAGACCAGUCCUCAGAAUGGUUUUUCUCAGAGAAACCCCCCGAGGUGGGUGGGGGGAACAGUAACACAGCCCAUGGGAAAGGGCAGAGCAGCCCUGGCAGCCGUAAGCAGGAGACCGCGGACACCAUCGGGCUGAAGCAUUUGAGGCACCGCUGAGGGAGAAGAAAGGCGGGUGAGCGGACGCUCAGAUGUUGUCCCCCUAAAUGCUCUCGUUCACCGAGUUCACCCUUCACCGUGUGUCUGUUUCAUGCACAGAGCGCGGGUGGGUCUGAGCGGGAAACCUCGAGAACAAGCAGCCGUGUUGAAGUCACAUUUCUCACGUGAAUUGGAAGGAAAGGGAAAAGACCAGGGACCACCCCAUCGUUCUCCCCGCGGUGUUCCACUAGGGUUCUCCCAAGGGCCAGAUUCGGGUGCACAAGAGUGUCCUGUUGGUGUAAAGUACUGCCUUUGAUUUGUGUAUUGCCAUCCAGCUGAGGUUGGGUAGUUCCAGUCAUUUCUAUUAAGAAUAGUCCCCUUGUAAAGAGCCUGUGUGGUAAAGACUAGUAAUUAAAUGUUUUUCAAACCCCAACUGA